UCCGCCCCGCAGGGAGGUUCCGGCCGCCGGGGAGGGGCGGCGGGGGAGAGACGGGGAGGGCUGGGGAAGCCCCGCUAGCAGACAGACGGGGCCGCCUCCCCCGAAGAUUACUAAUAAAAUCGCCGCAGAGGAGCCGCCGCCUCUCGGACUUCCUUCCUAGGGGGCGCUCUGGAGCCCGGGCGGAGGCGCACGCGACGCAGCGGGACUCUUUGCCCUCUCAGGGCGGAAGGAACGCGGCUAGCGUGAGAAAGGCCGGCGCGACCCGAAGCGCCCCGGUCCUGGGAGCCGCCCCCUCCUUUUCCGAGGGCGUUGCGGGGCCGGAUGCGCCCCGGCGGGAGCUUGGCCUUGCUCAGGAACUACGUUGGGCUGGCUGUUCGGGUCCUGGGUCCCGGGUCCCUCCGCCGGCGUCCGGCGGGUGUCGGGCGCUCGGUCGCGGUGGAAUCGGGCCCUGGAGCAGACGGCCUGUGCAUCCCUACGCCCAGGCGGCCUGUGUAGUGUAGACUCGGUCGUAUACGCUGCCGUUUUAGUUUCGUAAUCUCUGAACUGGGGCCCGAUUCCCUAGAGAGAUGGAUGGUGCCGAGCUGAGUUUCCAGUGCUGAGCAAUGCAGCUGCAUUUUGCUAAAAGGUUUUUUGCUUUUAACCUUACUCCUCACCCUCGUUUUCCUCUUCUACCUUCUCAUUUUUUUUCUUUCCUUCUUUUUCUUUUUUUUUGGUUGGUAUUUCAUUAGUUUGGGAGUGGCCGCUGUCAGUGGCGAAAUGAGGACUGAGUUCUUGCCCAGUUGGCGCCUACCCAGUCGGUGUCAGCCUGCGGUCAAGGCUUGGAGGGGAGCUGUAGCGAGGGCGGAGUCCCGGAGCGGUGAAGACGGAGCUGCAUUCUGGCAGGCUUUCCAGGCUGGCCAGAGAUGUGCUCUGUAAUGCUUUUCUGAACUGCAUUAGGCAGGAGGAAUAGGGGACUACGUUUUUCGUUCACCACAUUUGAGGACUUCGGCUAUGUGCCAGGUUGCCUGGCUUUGGGGGCUAUUUAUGAUUUUCUUUUUUUCCUGUUUCAUGAGUAUGUGAGAACUGACAGUGCACAUUUAGCAUGCAGAGCAGUAUUUGGGGUCAACAGUAAGGAAUCUUCCAAAUACUUAAAAAGAUUACUUUGGAAGGAUUUUAGUUUAAAAGGUCAGUGCAGAGUGGAUCAAUCCAGAAAUAAGACACUCUGACAGGAGCAAGCCUUCACUUAAAUCGGGAAAUGAGCCAAGGAAAGCCUGGGAAGUAAGUAUUUGGUGGGGCCCCUUUCUAAAGGAAAGUCUGCUGGGCAGGUGCAAAAUCUGGUUCUGGUGGUAGAAAUAGUUUCAUCUCUCUAUCAAAGCUUGAUAUAAUUCUAUUCAAAAGUCAUACAUUUAUUCUGUUCCUUUUACUCUAUUCCUUUUCUCAACAAACAGUUCUGAAUACUGUUUUAAUUCCCAUAUAGUUUUUCUAUAAGGAGAGAACAUUGUGGCCAAAUGAAAUGAUUAGCCAUUUUCUUUGACACUUUUAUUUUCCAUUGUUUUAUGCACACAAGCUUCUGAUGAACAUGAUUCAGCAUCUUUGGUCCUGUGCUGAGUGAAUUCACCAAGAAAUGUCAGUAUGAGGCCCCUUGGCCAGCCAGCUUUCUGAUACUCAGCUUUGUAACACCUUCCACCCACUUUUCUGCUUACAGAUCAAGGACCAAAACAUUGAAGAUUAGGGGACUUUUGUAACAUUUUUAUUAUUGUAAAACCCUUACAGUAAAAAGAGUCCACACUCUUUGAGUACAGCAGUGAAGGCAGAACAAGGCAGACUGCAUUUCACUCUUGGAAGAAGAACCUCAGGGAGGGAGGUGGGUUAUGGCAUUUUUUUAAAAAGAAAGGAAUGCAAAUUUCUGUUUUGCCGCUGAAGAAAAGGAGUGUGGCCUGGCUCAGAAAAAUACUAAUGGGCCUUAAAAUGAUUUCCCAACAUUUAACAGAACAGUCUUAAACAAGAAAUGACCUAAGGAGAAAAUCUUGAGUAUGGGGUUGAAGGAAGAAAAGAAUCUGGACAAGAAGAAAGCUUCAAGAAGGGCUUAAUAAACAAUGUCCAAUGAUGCAGAAUCAUGGGAAUAAAUUAGAAAAUGCCUUUAUAUUUGUCGAUUAGAAGGAUAUUAUUUUGUGUGGCUGUUUAUUUUUUUUUUACUAUUUUCUUUGUACUUUAAAUUUGGAAUAGACAAUACAUUCUCAUAGUUCUAAAAUCAAAAGAGUAUAUAUAUCUGUAUUGUACUGGACAUCCUAGUGACUGCCAAAAGGCAAGGGUAAAAAUGUAUUAGGGUUAGAAAGAAAUACAUAAGUCUGUUAUUUGGAAAAAUCAUAGUCUACAUAUAAGAUGAUAAACUAUUAGUAUUAAUAAGUGAAUUUAGCAAGUUUCUGGAUAUAGUCAGCAUAUAAAGAUUAUAUUUUUAUAUACUAUAAUAUAAACAAUUAGAAAAUGAAUUUUUUAAAAAUGAUAUAUGAAUGCAUCAAAAAUAUCAAAUACCUAGUAUAUUAGUUUACUAUGGCUGCUAUAAUAGAUUACCACAAAUUUUAUUCUCUCAAAAGUCCUGGAAACCAGAAGUCCAAAAUCAAGGUGUGAGGGCCAUAUUCUUUCCAUAGGCUCUAGAAGAGAAUCUGUUUCUUGCCUUUUCCAGUUUCUUUGGUCUGGUGGCAUUGCAUGGCCUGAAGCUACUUCACUAGUCUGGCUGUUCAUAUUACCUUCUCUCUUUGUGUGUCUCAAAUUUCCCUCUCCCUUUAUCAUGUAAAGACACUAAUAGCGCCCUGGCUGGUGUGGCUCAGUGGAUUAAGCGCUGGCCUGCAAAUCGAAGGUUGUUGGUUCGAUUCCCAGUCAGGACAUGUGCCUGGGUUGUGGGCCAGGUCCCCAGUUGGCCUCAUGUGAGAAGCAACCAAUCAAUGUAUCUCUCAUACAUCUAUGUUUCUCUCUCAUUCUCCCUCCCUUCCCCCCUCUCUAAAAAUAAGUAAAAUCUUUAAAAAAACAACAACCCACUAAUGGCAUUUAUAGCCCACCAGGAUAUAAUCCAGGAUUAUAAUCCAGGAUUAUCUCCUUGUUUCAAGGUCCAUAGUUAAUCAUAUCUACAAAGACCGGUUUUUCUCAAAUAACAUUUACAGUUUCCAGAGAUUAGAACCUGACAUCUUUGGGGCACCGUCCAGGAAUUUCCCUAGGAAUCAAUUUUAAUGAAGGAUUUGUGCAGUCUAAGAGCUCUAUACUGACUAUUAUUGAGGGAAAUUAGAGAAGACCCAAGUAACUGGGCAGGUAUACUAUGGUCAUAGAUCAGAAGACUCAGUAACAUAAGAGUGUCAGUUCUCCCCAAAUUGAUGUGUAGAUUUAGUCUAAUCCCUAUGAGAAUCAAAGCAGCUUGUGUGUGUGUGUAUGUGUAAAUUGAGUUGAUUCUAAAAUUUGUAUGGAAAUUUUAAAAGACCAAGAAUAGCUAAGAUGCUCUGGAAGAACAAAGCUGCAGGAUUUAUACUACCAGAUAUUAGAAAGUAGACAAAUGGAACUGAAUAGAGUUCUUAAACAGAUGCGUAUUGGACAUUUUACUUACGCAAAGGUGACACUAGAAUGUGGAGGAAAAAAUGGGCGUUUCAGUAGAUGGUAUUGGGUCAACUGAAUAUCCACAUAGAAAACAAGAAACAUUGAUAUCUACUCAUCUUUAUAACUUUGGGUAGUCAAAGAAUUCUUAAACAGGACAUAAAAAGCAAGUUAAGGAAAAUAUUGAACAUGCCAAGUACAGAAAAUAGUAUGAGAAAUACAAAGAAUCUUGGAUUAUGUCAGAAAACUAGAAAUAGUCUUAUAGUCCCUAGAGCAUGAAGUCAAUUGAGAAUGAGGCUGGAGAGAGAGGCAAGGUCUGAAUUACACAAAGCCCUUGCAGCAUUCAAAGGGUUAAACAAUUUACUCUCUAGAUAAUGGAAAAGGACCAGAGGGAUCUAAGCAAGAGAAUGAUUUGGUUCACAUGGUAUUUUAUUUUUAUUUUUUUGAUAGGCAAGAGGCUAUAUUUAUUUAUUUUUGGUUUAAAAAAUUUUUUAAUGUUUUCUUGUUUAUGCCAUUACAGAUGUUCCAUUUCCCCCCUCUUUGCUCCCCCUCCACCUUGCUCACUGCCUGCCCCCCAGUCCACUUCUGUAGUCAGUCCCCAUACCAUUGUUUUAGAUGGAAAUUGAAUUGGGCAAAGAAAUCAGGAGGCUGUUGAAGAAGCAGUCAAGAAAUGAUAAAGCUUCAAUUAUGGCAGUGGUAGCAAUGAUAGAAGUGGGGACAGAGGUAAAUAGUAGGUAAAGUUAACAAAAUUUGGUGAUUGAUUGAGUAUGGAACCGAAAACGGGAAGGGAGGAGUCUAGACUAAUGCCAGGGUUUUGCCUUGGAUGUCUGGGUGGAUGAGGUGGUAAAUACUGAAGACUUACCAAGUCGAGGGACAAGGAGAAUUCAUUUCUAGAUAUAUUAGGUCCUCCAUGGGAAGAUAUCCAGCAUUCAGUUGGCUGUAUAAUGAAGAUCAGAACUGGAGCCCUGGCUGGGUACCUGAGUUGGUUAGAACUUCAUCCUGAUCCACCAAGGUUGCAGGUUUUCUUCCCAGUUAGGGCGUAUACAAGAAGCAACCAAUGAAUGCAUAAAUAAGUGGAACAACACAUCAAUGUUUCUCUAAAAUCAAUAAAUUUAAAAAAAUCAGGUCUGGAGAGAGGGAUUUGUUACCAAUUGAUUGUAGCUAAGGUCCUGAGACCUAACUAGAUCACACAGGAGAAGCAUGUAAAAUGAGAAGUAUAAUGAAGAACAUAGGAACACCAGCACUGAAGGGCCACAAAGAGGAAAAGAAGUCCAUAAAAGAAAAACUAGAAAACUAAGAGAACUGGGAGCCUCACACAGACUGCACCUGGGAGAAUAAGACUGCCCUGAACUGUCUCUACACUGACCUGCCUGCCUGCAACUGGGUUUCUGCCAUCUGAGCCAGUGCUCAUUAAGGAGUUCCUGGGAUCGUUCAGCCAAUAGUAUUAAGGCUUUCUCCAGCCAAUCAGAGAAGCACUGAAGAAGUCUCCACAGAGAAGACCAGAGGAGAGCAAAUGUGCAAGGAACAGAGCAGAGCUGCCUAGCCGGCUGGAGAAGUGACCUGGCCAUGGGACCUCUUAAAAGCAGUGCUGUAUCACAAUUGAGAUAUUCCACAGAUGUGCUGUUUUCACGGCUGUGCUGCACCACAACUGAGCUCUUCCACAGCGGUGCUGUGUCACAAACGAGCUGUUUACACUGAAUGAAGUUUCCUUCACUGCACCCCAAAUUGGGGAUUCCUUUUGGUGUUGAGUUGAUUCCAAUGGCCUUCUGCUUGAUGAUGUUUAACUAUUUGAUCAAAACGUUGAGUUCUGUAUUAAAGAUUCCAAGAUUUUUUUUUCUGUACUAACAUUUUUUAUCUUUUAAAAAUACUACUAUUGUAAUUAGUUUUUAGUCUUUAACACCAACAUACACCCACACAAUGAACUGUAAGUGACAUUUUCAGAAAGGGUGAAGCAUAUCUACUUAUGCCAAUACAGAACAAUCUUGAUAUUUUAAGGGAGAAAGUCAAUGUGCAAAUAGUUAAUCCAGCAUUCGUGUGUAUUUGUGUGUGUCUUAUUCUGCUCAGUCUGCUAUAACAAAGUGCCACAGACUGGCUAGUAGCAGCAGAAAUUUAUAGCUCACAGUUCUAGAGACCGGAAGUCUAAGAUCUGGGUGCUGGCAUGGUUGGGUGAGAGCCCUCUUCCAGGUUGUACACGUUCCUUGUAACUUUUUGUGGUGGAAGGGGCUAGGUAUCUCUUGGAACCUAUUUUAUAAGGCACUAAUUCUAUUCAUGAAACUUCUACCCUCAUGAUUUGAGUACCCCCCGAAAGCCCACCUAUAAAUACCAUUACCUUCGAGGGUUAGGAUUUCAAUAUAUGAGUUUGGAUGGAACGCAAACAUUCAAGCCAUGGUAGUAUGGCUGUAUUACCUUUCUAAUGUGCACAUAAAAUAUAUACAUAGCUGCCUACACAAGCUCAGACUAUUUCUAAAAUGGUUCAUAGAAACCAUUUACUUCUGGGAAGGGUGUGUCUGUCUGUGAUGGAAGGGGGAGUUUAUCUUCCUAUGUAUACUUUUACACGGGUUCUUUUGUCGUGUAUGUAUUACUGUUUUGAGGAAAUAAAUGUUUAAAGAAUUUAGUAAUAAACACUUUAAUGGUAAAAAUGUAAGUAGAAAAGACAAUGUUAAAAUAACAUUGUAAAAGUAAAGUUACGGCUAAUAGAGGUUGGAAAGACAACA